rnacentral:rRNA from 1 species
AAGCUCGUAGUUGAAUUUCGGGAUCAGUAUGUUGGUCGUGCUUAGGUACAUACUGUCAUUACUGGUUUCUCUCUUCUGAAGAACCUUGAUGUCAUUAAUUUGGUGUCUUGGGGAAUCAGGACUGUUACUUUGAAAAAAUUAGAGUGUUUAAAGCAGGCAUACGCUUGGAUACAUUAGCAUGGAAUAAUGAAAUAGGACGUUUGAUUCUAUUUUGUUGGUUUCUAGGAUCGACGUAAUGAUUAAUAGGGAUAGUUGGG